AAACAUCGUUUUGGUUUCCGCCUUGCCGGUAGUCCGCCUCGUCCCUCAGCUCCUGUGCAGAACAGCCUAUACAUAGCAUACAUACUAUGUAUACUAUGUAUACCAUAGUAGUCACGUGACGUCACAUCCGCUGCUGUCGUCUGCUUAUGUUCUAGGUGACUUUGGCUUAUGCCGCACGACUCCACACAGAAUCGACUCCUUCAAUGCACGGAAGUGAUGUAACUAAAAACGUCACACGCACGCAUACUUUCGGUUUUUUUUUUUUUUUUGGGGGGGGGGGGGGGGGAGAGGCGUCGUUUGAUUCGUUGUUGUUCGCACGUGACAUUCAGCACGCAUCCUGUCAGCCGCGCUUGCGGGUCGUGCUUUUCUGCUACCGCUGGUGCUAGCCCCAAGGCUUCUUUUGCUUCACUUGUUGGCAAAAGGUGGAAGCAGGAGCUGACCUGUGCCAUGAGGGCAGCCAUCUCGAGAGCCAUUUCAUGUGUUAGGGGGAACCGGCCCUGCAUGAGCUCCCCGUGCAAAGCGUAGCAGGGACCGGUCAAGAAUUUGGCUAUUCUGCACUCUACGAAUGGUGCCAUGGCCAAAUGGUACCCGGUGACGUGCACACUGACGGCUGCGGUGUAGCAUCUGUUUGCGGUUAUGUCCAUCAUACAUUUGCCUUUUCUCUGGCCUCUGGUAAAGCAACCUUGACAUCGCCAUACAUCAAAGGUGCUUGCUGAUGGAACGACUGAGUCACGGUUUGCAUGAUGCAACCCCAGUCCCUCCGAUUCACCACUGGCAAAUUAAACCACAACACGUUACGCACAGCCAGCUGCGUUCGGCUGGUGGCCAUGUGUUUGCAAUACCCAGCAACUGCGCUCGCGCUACUUGCAUUGUCAGUAGUUCGAGUAUGGAUGCAUGGCAAAUUUUAAGCAGAUUUACUCUUACUUACUGAUUUGUCAGCGAUGAUAAGCACCACGAUCACAGCAAAAGCUCAACACACUAAACCAAAGUCAUGGAUCCAAUGAAUGCAACUGAAGAACAAUCAAACAAACAAAAUGUCACUAAACGAAUGUCAAGACACCUGUGAAGAAAUGCAUUUUAUGUCUUAGACUCUUUCAGUACACAAAUCACCGAGUUCAGUGAUGGUGAUCCUAUAAGCAUGUCUGUCACCUGUGCCUAAUAAACAAUCUGACUCUUCAUUA